AAUCACUGUAACCGAUUGGUUUGUGUCUCUCUAUCGCAACGAGGCGAGAAACGCUUCAGUGUAAUAGAACAACAGAGGAGAAGCACACACACACAUAAUUAGAAAAUGAGGAGGGAAAGGGGAAG
ensembl:ncRNA F15A8.11 ncRNA